CGGGGUGCAGCAGGCGCGAAAACUUUACAAUGCUGGCAACAGCGAUAAGGGGACCUCGAGUGCCAGGUUACAAUCUGGCUGUCGUGAUGCCUAAAAAGCAUUGCAUAGCAAGGGCCGGGCAAGACCGGUGCCAGCCGCCGCGGUAACACCGGCGGCUCGAGUGGUAACCGUUAUUAUUGGGUCUAAAGGGUCUGUAGCCGGCCGGAUAAGUCUCUUGGGAAAUCCAGCAGCUCAACUGUUGGGCUUUCAGGAGAUACUGUCUGGCUCGAGGCCGGGAGAGGUGAGAGGUACUUCAGGGGUAGGGGUGAAAUCUUGUAAUCCUUGAAGGACCACCAGUGGCGAAGGCGUCUCACCAGAACGGACCUGACGGCAAGGGACGAAAGCUAGGGGCACGAACCGGAUUAGAUACCCGGGUAGUCCUAGCCGUAAACGAUACUCGCUAGGUGUCGGCCACGGUGCGACCGUUGUCGGUGCCGUAGGGAAGCCGUGAAGCGAGCCACCUGGGAAGUACGGCCGCAAGGCUGAAACUUAAAGGAAUUGGCGGGGGAGCAC
rnacentral:rRNA from 1 species